rnacentral:rRNA from 1 species
AUUGAACGCUGGCGGCAUGCUUUACACAUGCAAGUCGAACGGUAACAGGCCGCAAGGUGCUGACGAGUGGCGAACGGGUGAGUAAUGCAUCGGAACGUGCCCAGUCGUGGGGGAUAACUACUCGAAAGAGUAGCUAAUACCGCAUACGAUCUAUGGAUGAAAGCGGGGGACCGUAAGGCCUCGCGCGAUUGGAGCGGCCGAUGUCAGAUUAGGUAGUUGGUGGGGUAAAGGCUCACCAAGCCAACGAUCUGUAGCUGGUCUGAGAGGACAACCAGCCACACUGGGACUGAGACACGGCCCAGACUCCUACGGGAGGCAGCAGUGGGGAAUUUUGGACAAUGGGCGCAAGCUUGAUCCAGCAAUGCCGCGUGCAGGAAGAAGGCCUUCGGGUUGUAAACUGCUUUUGUACGGAACGAAACGGCUCUGGUUAAUACCCGGGGCUAAUGACGGUACCGUAAGAAUAAGCACCGGCUAACUACGUG